rnacentral:sRNA from 1 species
CUGUGCGGUGCCGGGAGGGCGGCUGGGCAGGCUGCAGGAUGCUGCGCGCCGCCCUGUCCCUGCUCGCGCUGCCCCUGGCGGGGGCGGCCGAAGAACCCACCCAGAAGCCAGAGUCCCCGGGCGAGCCUCCCCCAGGCUUAGAGCUCUUCCGCUGGCAGUGGCACGAGGUCGAGGCGCCCUACCUGGUGGCCCUGUGGAUCCUGGUGGCCAGCCUGGCCAAAAUAGUGUUUCACCUGUCUCGGAAGGUAACAUCUCUGGUCCCUGAGAGCUGCCUGCUGAUUUUGCUGGGCCUGGUGCUAGGGGGCAUUGUUUUGGCUGUGGCCAAGAAAGCUGAGUACCAGCUGGAGCCAGGCACCUUCUUCCUCUUCCUGCUGCCUCCUAUUGUGUUGGACUCAGGCUAUUUCAUGCCUAGCAGGCUGUUCUUUGACAACUUGGGUGCCAUCCUCACCUAUGCCGUGGUAGGCACACUCUGGAAUGCCUUCACAACAGGUGCUGCCCUCUGGGGCUUGCAGCAGGCUGGACUUGUAGCCCCUAGGGUGCAGGCUGGCUUACUGGACUUCCUGCUGUUUGGGAGCCUCAUCUCGGCGGUGGACCCUGUGGCCGUGCUAGCUGUCUUUGAGGAGGUGCACGUCAAUGAGACUCUCUUUAUCAUCGUCUUUGGCGAGUCCCUGCUCAAUGAUGCUGUCACCGUGGUGCUGUACAAGGUCUGCAACUCCUUUGUGGAGAUGGGCUCUGCCAAUGUGCAGGCCAUUGACUACCUGAAGGGAGUCGGUCAGUAUUUCCCCGCUCCCAGCUGGCAUUGGAGAUCUGCCUCCCCUGGGUUGCUGAGGCCCUCCCACCCCACAUCAGGACAGAAGAGGCUAUUCGGGUUGCCUCAUCUCCUCUAUAGAGAAAUGGGGUCUGGGAGGGGCUUGCCAGGGAUCCUGGCUCUGGGGUUUUGAGCCCCUGGGAGUGCGGUGGGCAUCAUCCCUCACUCCCUGCCAGGCAGCAGUCUUGUCAGCCCGGGUAGGGUCCGGGCCAGGGGUCAUGCUGACAACCCACUCCUCCCUCAGCCUCCCUGUUUGUGGUCAGUCUGGGCGGGGCAGCCGUGGGCUUAGUCUUUGCCUUCCUCCUGGCCCUGACCACACGCUUCACCAAGCGGGUCCGCAUCAUCGAGCCGCUGCUGGUCUUCCUCCUCGCCUACGCAGCCUACCUCACUGCUGAAAUGGCCUCGCUGUCCGCCAUUCUUGCGGUGACCAUGUGUGGCCUGGGCUGUAAGAAGUACGUGGAGGCCAACAUCUCCCAUAAGUCACGCACAACUGUCAAAUAUACAAUGAAGACUCUAGCCAGCUGUGCUGAGACCGUCAUCUUCAUGCUGCUUGGCAUCUCAGCCGUGGACUCUUCUAAGUGGGCCUGGGAUUCUGGGCUGGUGCUGGGCACCCUCAUCUUCAUCCUGUUCUUCCGAGCCCUCGGCGUAGUCCUGCAGACCUGGGUGCUGAAUCAGUUCCGGCUAGUCCCUCUGGACAAGAUUGACCAAGUGGUGAUGUCCUAUGGGGGCCUGCGGGGGGCUGUGGCCUUUGCUCUCGUCAUCCUACUGGAUAGGACCAAGGUCCCUGCCAAGGACUACUUUGUAGCCACCACUAUUGUAGUGGUCUUCUUCACAGUCAUCGUGCAGGGCUUGACCAUCAAGCCACUGGUCAAAUGGCUGAAGGUGAAGAGGAGUGAGCAUCACAAACCCACUCUGAACCAGGAGCUGCAUGAACACACUUUUGACCACAUUCUGGCUGCAGUGGAGGACGUUGUGGGGCACCAUGGCUACCACUACUGGAGGGACAGGUGGGAGCAGUUUGACAAGAAAUACCUGAGUCAGCUGCUGAUGCGACGAUCAGCCUACCGCAUCCGGGACCAGAUCUGGGAUGUGUACUACAGGCUUAACAUCCGGGAUGCCAUCAGCUUUGUGGACCAGGGAGGCCACGUCUUGUCUUCCACAGGUCUCACUCUGCCUUCUAUGCCCAGCCGCAAUUCUGUGGCAGAAACUUCUGUCACCAACCUGCUGAGGGAGAGUGGCAGUGGAGCGUGUCUGGAUCUGCAGGUGAUUGACACAGUACGCAGUGGCCGGGAUCGUGAGGACGCUGUGAUGCAUCAUCUGCUCUGCGGAGGCCUCUACAAGCCGCGCCGUAGGUACAAAGCCAGCUGCAGUCGCCACUUCAUCUCAGAGGAUGCGCAGGAGCGGCAGGACAAGGAGGUCUUCCAGCAGAACAUGAAGCGGCGGCUGGAGUCCUUUAAGUCCACCAAGCACAACAUCUGCUUUACCAAGAGCAAGCCACGACCCCGCAAGACUGGCCGCAGGAAGAAGGAUGGUGUGGCGAAUGCUGAGGCUACAAAUGGGAAACAUCGAGACCUGGGCUUUCGGGACACAGCUGCUGUGAUAUUAACCGUGGAGUCUGAGGAGGAGGAGGAGGAGAGCGACAGUUCAGAGACAGAGAAGGAGGACGAUGAGGGGAUCAUCUUUGUGGCUCGGGCCACCAGUGAGGUUCUCCAAGAGGGCAAGGUCUCAGGAAGCCUUGAGGUGUGCCCAAGCCCACGAAUCAUUCCCCCCUCCCCAACCUGUGCAGAGAAGGAGCUCCCCUGGAAGAGUGGGCAGGGGGACCUGGCAGUGUACGUGUCCUCGGAAACCACCAAGAUUGUGCCUGUGGACAUGCAGACGGGUUGGAACCAGAGCAUCUCAUCCCUGGAGAGCCUAGCGUCCCCUCCCUGUAACCAGGCCCCAAUUCUGACUUGCCUGCCUCCCCAUCCACGGGGUGCUGAAGAGCCCCAGGUCCCUCUCCACCUGCCUUCUGAUCCACGCCCUAGCUUCGCCUUCCCACCGAGCCUGGCCAAGGCUGGCCGCUCUCGCAGUGAGAGCAGCGCUGACCUCCCCCAGCAGCAGGAGCUGCAGCCCCUCAUGGGCCACAAGGACCACACCCAUCUCAGCCCAGGCACCGCUACCUCCCACUGGUGCAUCCAGUUCAACAGAGGCAGCCGGCUGUAGCUCAGGGUCUCCGGGAGGAGCAGGAGGUGGAAUCCCUGUGGGAAAUGCUCCCUGGGCGAUGGGUAGAGCCCUCGAAACGACAUGGGGCCAGAGGGGCCUGAGUUGAAGUAGUAAUUGGGCUUCCUUGGGGCUGGUCAGAGGGGUCACCUAAGCUGGUCCUCACAGGGGCCUUUCUCACCACCUCCCUGCUCCUAAGCCCUGCCACUUUCUGUUUCAUUAAGGCCUCUACUCUGGCUCAGGACCCAGUCCAGGCCUUCUACGGGCUAGGCCCAGAGACUUGGGUUGCUGGUCCCCCUUCCCUAGUGGGUUUUCCCAGGGACUCUAUAGGCAGCUGCUCCUGCCACCAAAGCAAGGGCAUCAUUCCUAUUCUUCAGUGGAUGCCAGCCUUCCCUGCCCCCACUCCCUCCCCAGCACUGGGUCAGUGGUGUCCUGGCAGUGAGGCUCCGUAAGGGGCUGGCCCUUAGAGGAACUGGGGUGGGAGGUGGGGCAGGCCUCACCCUUGGGCUUUGCUGCCCUGUUGGGUCAGCUACCCAUAGUCCAUAUUUUUAGGGCAGUGGGAACCUCUGCCUCCACUUCCUGCUUUAGCCCCUUCCCUUGCUGCCAGGUAUUGGGGUAAUAGUUCCUCCUUUUCCAAGACCAAGGCCAAGAGGCUGGGCCAGGCUUCAGUUCAGGCCUGUUGCUUAAAUGGGGUCACCCUGGGAUCUGCUGCUCUGGGUCUAAGUCUAGACCUUUCUGAUCCUUGGGUCUGGGUUUUUUGAGGAGGGGACAUAGUGGCCUCUGGGCUGCCAUGUCACCACCUGAACAUUCCCCAAACAGAGAAGGAACCCAGCAUCUCAGGGCCACUGCUCCAUUGCUCUGGGGGCUGGGAUGCCUGGCUAAGCAGGGGCUGACAGGGUGGCAGGUGACUUUCUAGGGGUCAGCACCUGCUUUGUGUUUUGUACCUUGAACCUAAGAUACAUUAAACAUCUCUCAGAUGG